rnacentral:rRNA from 1 species
UACGUAGGGGGCAAGCGUUAUCCGGAAUGAUUGGGCGUAAAGCGUCCGCAGGUGGCAAUGUAAGUCUGCUGUUAAAGAGUCUAGCUCAACUAGAUAAAAGCAGUGGAAACUACAUAGCUAGAGUACGUUCGGGGCAGAGGGAAUUCCUGGUGUAGCGGUGAAAUGCGUAGAUAUCCGGAGGAACACCGGUGGCGAAGGCGGCUUCCUGGACCGACACUGACGCUGAGGCGCGAAAGCGUGGGUAGCGAACAGG